UGCCCCUUACUUCCUUCCCUCAGAGAGAACUGUGUUGUCUGUGUGUAGGCUACAAAAUGAACAAAAAGAAAAGGGGUCCUAACUGGACGGCAGAGGAAAAAUCUAUCCUGUUGAAGGAAUAUUCAAAGCGCCGGGCAAUUCUUGAAAGUCGAGUUAACUCAGAUCUGUCGAAACUGGGUAAAUUGAAGCACUGGGAAGAAAUCGUAGCACGCAUUAAUGCCGUCAACCCUUUGGCCAGGAGAAGCAUUUAUGACAUUAAAAAGAAAUUGCUCAAUAUUGCGUAUACAGCAAGGAAUAAUCCGCGACUUAGGCACACACUUCGAAAAAGAGACAAGAACUUUGUCUGUUCUUCCCAGCCUCUGCCCCACCUACUCUUCCGGCCCCCACGCAGUUUUCAGAAGUGCCCUUUUUGUCUUCGCCUACUGCCUGCCCUCAGGAGACAGCCUCAACACCAGCAUCCGUGGAGGUCAGUGACUCUGAGCAAGAACCUGUAGACCGACUGACCCAAGCCCCCCAGCCUCCAGUGUCUCCAAUCCCGGAAUCUUCCAGAACCCACGAUGAGCCCCAGGAGCUGGACGGUCAGGGCAGAGACUUUCAGCGCUUGCAUGCAGCCAUUACUGACUGUGGAGACCGGAUUGUGGCAGCCCUGGAGCCAAUAGCAGACUCUUUUCAGCAGCUCACUCAUCAAGUGGGCGUUUUGGUAGAGGUGCUGGCCAAACAGGCCCAGGUACGGCCACCCUGCAGACAUGCCUGCCCUACGUGUAAGUGCCCACAGGAGCAGGCUAACAGUCAGGAGGCUGUACACCACCUCAAGUCAGAAGUUGAGCAGUUCUCCUGGGAGACAUAAAUAUACAUUACAGGAAUUUAGCAGACGCUCUUAUCCAGAGCGACUUACACAACUUUGACAUAGCAUUUUUACAUUGUAUCCAUUUAUACAGCUGGAUGUAUACUGAAGCAAUGCAGGUUAAGUACCUUGCUCAAGGGCACAACUGCAGUGUCCUACCCAGGAAUCGAACCUAUGACUUUUUUCGGUUACAAGCCCAGUUCCUUACCCACUGUGCUACACUGCCGGCCAAUGGUAGAUUUGUUCUGGCUUUACCUGCAGAUUUUAAUGUCGACCUCCAUGCUGUGGCCUACCCUUGGAAGCUUUGUAGUUCUCUGCACGAGAUACCGUAACAAUUAAUUAUGUUUUCAGGUCUUUGCUUUACUGGCACUGCAAAGUAUUCUGACCUGAACGGGAGCCAAAGAGUGCAGGGCCUAUUUGUUCAGCAGAUUUUCACAAAUUGUAAUAAUAAAUACAUCUCAUUACAUAUUUUUAAUGUCCCUACCACAAGAAAUAAGUGUAAAUGCUUAAAUACACAUAGGCAUACACUAAAUGGGGGAAAAAAUCACUGAUAAAAGAACAGAUACAGGAUAAAUACCCUCCUGUACAGUCUGAAAAGUAACUGAAAAAGAACAGAAAAUAGCUGAUCUGGACUGUAGAAAUAUGUAAAUUAACUACUUAUAUGAAUAAUAUGGUGUUUAACUGUCCUAUAUGUUUGUUUAACUGUAUUUUGUACCAUCAUGAAAAAGUUGUGUAGGCUAUUCCCUUGUAUUGUAAAGUUGAAUUUUGUAAGCCUUUACUUCUACACAUGUAACGGUAGAAGAACCAGCUACAUCUUUGCAAUGCUUUUUUCUCAAAAGCAGUGUAGUGUUAUUUAGAAAUAUUUUUUUUAACUGUUACCUUCAUUCUGUAUCAGGCAGGUUUCCAUUUUUGGGCAUAAGAUUCAAAUGACACAGUAAUGCCAGUCUCUGUUGUUUAAUAAAGUUUUUAUGUUAA